rnacentral:misc_RNA from 1 species
GCAGAUUGCUCUUUAUCCUCUCACCAGCUCAAGAAGCUCGACAAGAAGAUGGGAGACAGUACCAUUAUUGAUCGUGAUGCACUCACCGAAUCACAGAAAUGGUCAUAUAUUACGGACAAUACAUUGAAGAUGAUGAGCUUGGGAUUUCUCUGCGGCGGUGCCGUUUCAAUGGUUGUAUUUCGCUCGGUCGCGUCUCGCGCAGCUGUCACCGCGUUCGGCACAGGGUGUGGCAUUGGAAAGUCGUACGUCGAUACAAAGUACGUUUUAGGUCAUGAUGUUGCUGCUGAAACGGUCUGGUCUGCACAAGUAGCAACACCAAAGAGUAGCACGUAAGUCUUUUCUCUCUACAAGUACGCCAUCUUAUUUUUCCAGCGAAGUUCCGGCAGAGUUCAGAACAAUAAAACAAAUAAAACGUAGACAAAAAGCAAGAGCAGUUGCACCACGUCGCCCCUCAGCUAUCUGAACUCUCUCUUAUCUACUCACCCACUUCGUUAAUAGUCUACAGAGGAGGUCUUGCAUGCCUUUUGGCUGCUGUCUCUCGCCCCAUGUACUUUCUUAUUCAUGUCCUACCUAUGGCUCCCUGCUGCUCUCUUUUCAG